CCACCUGCUCUGGCUGGCAAUUCUGGUUCUCCAGCAACCGGUUUCAGAAGAGCUCCUCCUCCUUGUGGAUGGUCAGUGGCUUCUGCUUAUCUGGAGAGCCCUGUCACAGAAGGAUCCAGCUCAUCACUGAGAUACAAUCUGGACCCUGCCUCCUAAUAAUAAGGGCAUCACUUUCCUGUGCAAAGGCUUCCUGCCAGUCCACCAGUUACCAAGAUAUCCCAGCUCCUCCUCCAAGCCAGUGUCAUGAAGAUGUGCUGGGUAAGCUAAUCUAGGAAGCUCAGUGGCAAGUUCUCUUCCCUAAUUCCUUGCAUUGGGCCUCCCAAAUGACAUUGGCUGAGGGUGGUGGGGGCUGGUGAGGAAGAGGCCCGAGUUCAGAAUCUUUGAUUUUACAAUCCAUUGUCACACUGGAGAGUGGUGUGAACGCUUACUCUUGGUUUGCUGUUGACUUUUUCAGGAACUGAAGUAUUUGACUUUUUUCCAUUAAGGUGAUUUUGAGGAGAAGAACUGAAGGAAAUGAAUUCUCCAAAAUAAUUAUCUGUAAUCAGUUAUUGGAAGAGAGCAUGUUAAAGACGAACCUAGAGAAACAUUGGCUUGAAUGCCCCGUUCAAAUCCAGCAUAGCUUACUUUCGUGGGCAUGGAGACCUUAUUGAAUUGUAGUGUAGCAGAUUCUGUGAGCCGACAUACAGAGAUGAUCAGCAAGUUCCAGAUUCAUAGAGUCACAAAUAACUGAAUCAUCAGUAUGCCUGUGCUGUCCAGACUGGUCUCCCAGGAUUUAGCCCAACCAGUAACCCCGACAGGAAGGAAGACACAUUCAGUUCAAUAAACUUGCACACAGCAUCUUCUCCUGUAAGCACUUUGCAAUGUACUGAAUGAGCAUGAGAAUAAGUCAUGGGUUCUCUCUUUCAGGAGUCUUUGGAGGUGGAUACAUUUGUACCCAACUAUAAUACAAGGCAGAAUGUGAUAAGUACUAUAAUAGAAGUUGAAAUGCUAAAUGGACAGGAGAAGAGGAAUUUAUUACAGCUUAUGGGAUCUGGGAGGCUUCACAGCAGAGUGAGUUCUGGUGGGAUAGGUAGGAUUUUGUUAGGCAGAAGUGGGAAGAGAAUCAUUUGUGUGACUACAAUGCAAGUGCACAGGAUGAGAGGGUGAGGGUCAAGGUAGGAAAUGGCCUCCAAGAUGGCACCCAAUAAUCCCCUCCUUCUGGUACUCAUGUUCUUUUGUAGUCCUCCCAGCUCUUUAUCAGGUUUGGUCUGUGUGACCAAUGGGAUAUGGUGGAAGUGAUGGUGUGUGGCUUCUAAGACUGUGUCACAGAAGAUGUCACCACUUCCCUGCUGCAUUCUGGAUUACCUACUCUGCGGGAAGCCAGCUGCCUUGGCAUGAGCACACACAGUGGCCUAGGUAGAGACUUGUGUGGGGAAGGAACGGAAGUCUCCUGCCAGGAGCCAGCACCAACCUGUGGGUCCGUGUGAAUGAGCAGUCUUAGAAGUUGAUUUCCUGGCACUGGGCCAGGGCUUCAGGUGACUGCAGUCCAGAUGACACCAUGACUGAAAGUGAUGGGAGAUCUUGAGCCAAAACUGCUCAGCUAGGACAGUCCUGAAUUCUGACCCACAGUAACUUUGAGGUAACAAGUGUUUUAUUGAUGCUUUAAGCCUCUAGUUUUGAGGGCACUUUGUUAGGCAUCAAUAGACACACUAUGCAGAAAUGAAGACUUGGGGAGAAGUCUGGGAGAAGCCUUAAUUUUUAAAGGGCUGUACUUCUGUGCAGCGGGGUUAUCGGUUUUUUUUUUUUUUUUUUUAAACUGUAAAGGAUGAUAAUUCUGGUGCUGUGCAUGAUCUAAGUUGGCAAAAGAAGUGCUGGAGCAGGAAGAUAAUUUAAGAGGCUGCUGCAGUAGUCCAGAUCAGAGGUGAUGAGGGAGCCUAAGUGGAGGUACCUUGGGGAGGGAGGAAUAGAAAGAAGUGCAUCAAUGUGGGGAGUGAGAGCCAACAAGCAGGGAACGUGACUCCUUGGUUUUGAGCACAGAAAGACGGGGGAGUCAGGGGAGUCGUUAUCUCAUUUACCCAAAGAGGAAACACAGAAGUGAGCACCUGUUUGGGUGCCUGGAUGGGUAGGAAUAAGGAAGUGGGGGCGCCCAUCUCCCAGCGAGCAGGGCUCCCUGAGUGCAGAGCUCCGAGGAGGGCUACCACCAGGCUCCUUCACAGAUCAGGCUGGUUGAAAAAUCUCUUCCUAAAGGACAAGGCUGUUCCAUUUCACAGCACAUCUUCCUCACUGCCGGGUGUUCCCUGGUGACAGCCUCUGCCACAGAUAUUUUUAGCAUGUGGCCUUUCCGAGCCUGAAGAGCAGCAUCUACUUCCUGGAACUCCUUCUCCAGCUGACAGCCAGUGACCCACGGAGGAGGGAGCUUCAGCUGGCCUGACGAGCCACAGCCCCGUUGCAGUGCCAAUUUGCUGGCGGGGGGUGGGGGGAGGAAGUCAGACCCCAAGUUUUACAAAAAGCCUCCAUCUCAUUCCCUUCUGGUCUGCUGCCGAGGCUUACCAGCUCCAGUGCCAAUCAGAAGCUGGGAAAUAAGAAAGCCUGCUCAUGAAUCCCAAGUGGAGGGAAGCGUCUCAUGCAAUUUACUUAUUUGACAGUUAUAUCAAGUCUGAAGGUAAUACCUGGCCAGGUAAUGGUAGAAAACCACCAGGACAUAAAUAUUGCUUUUAUAGAUCCUAGAACAGGCCUGAGUGAAAUCCCUUUGGGAUUUAUAACAUGUUCCAUCUCAUCAAAUGGAGCCAGAUUUGGAGCAAAGCAAGAAA